rnacentral:rRNA from 1 species
GAUGAACGCUGGCGGCGUGCCUAAUACAUGCAAGUCGAGCGAACAGACGAGGAGCUUGCUCCUCUGACGUUAGCGGCGGACGGGUGAGUAACACGUGGAUAACCUACCUAUAAGACUGGGAUAACUUCGGGAAACCGGAGCUAAUACCGGAUAAUAUAUUGAACAGCAUGGUUCAAUAUUGAAAGACGGUUUUGCUGUCACUUAUAGAUGGAUCCGCGCCGCAUUAGCUAGUUUGUAAGGUAACGGCCUACCAAGGCGGCUAUGGGUAGCCGACCUGAGAGGGUGAGCGCCCACAGUGGAACUUAGACUAGGUCCAGACACCUACGGGAGGAAGCGGAAGGGAAGCCGACGAAAAGGGCGAAAAGCUUACGGAGCAAAACCGGCUGAAUAAAGAAGGGAUUAUGAAGCUUAAACUCUGUUUAUAGGAGAGAACGAAUGUGUUAGUAAAUAAGAAGGUAGUGACGGUAUCUAAGCAAAAAGCCACGGCUAACUACGUG